UUAAUUUCCUUUGAGUGCCACCAUUUCCUCAGUGUAGAGUUUUCAUUUGCUUACUUUAUUAAAAUGGAAAAUGACAAGUUCAGAUCAUUGCAAAACACUCGACCACGACCAAGCAACAGGAAAAUUAUUUCAAAGAAUAUCAAAGUUUUCUUUGAUUUUUAAGGAGGUAGGUCAACUUAAUUCAUCCUAUUAUGUGAUCUUUCUUUCUGACUUUAAGAAAAUGUCCUUUGAUUUCACACCUCACUUUCCAGAUCAGAUAUUGCUCUUGUACCUAUGUACUUUUGGUUCUUAAGUGAUUUUCUUGGGUAUCAAAUAUUUUGGGGGGUACAGCCUAAUUAGUUUCAAAGUGCUAAUGAUAUUUCAUGUUAAUCAGCUAGAAGAAACACUGAUCUUAGUGGUUUGCAGUCUCCCUCUCUUCCCCUGUUCCCUGAGAUUCACAAUAAAUUCUAGGCUGAUGUACCGGAGAGGCUCAUAAAGUCUAGGUCCUCAGUCUAUAGUGUUCACCAUCUCUGUUGCUCUCUGUUGCUCUUUCAGCUUCCUAAUGCUACUGAGUUCUGAUCCCUGCUGUUUCUGCAUAGGUUUUCAGGCAUAGUCAGAAAUUGUCAAGUCAAAUUACAGACUUCAUAGUCCAUGGUUAUCCCCAUUCUAAGGGCUCAGGGAUCCUUUCCCAGAUUCUCUUGCUUUUUCAGCCAUUGUUUUUGUUUUUUACAGUAGAUACUUAGAUCCAGGUUUUAUCGGCACAUUAGAUACACAGGCAGUCUGACUGGCAUUUAGAGUGUUUGGAAUAGAUGUGAAGCAGCAUGAUUUAAAGUUAAUUGCAUCUGGGUUUGAAUUGUGGCCUGGCCACUUUCUAGAUGUGUGACAUUAGGAAGCCACUCAGCCAUUUUGAACCUCAGUUUCCUCAUCUGUUAAAUGGGAGUUACUAUUGAUUUUAUGAGCAUUGACUGUAAUAAUAUACAUGGAAUAGUUUGUUUACAGCUUGGCAUAUUAAAGGUGUUUAUUAACUUCUGUCAUUUUGUUUUUCGUAAUAUUUUUGUUCAUCUGUCAGUAUUGUGGGUAUUAGUAUUUAUACUCCAGUCCUUUGGAUUCCAAUUUUUAUGUCUUCUUGCAUUUUAAGGAUUUUAUUUGUGAUUCUCCUUAGACGGUAUUGCUCAGCAUAUGUUUAUUGAGUGUGUGCCAGGCCCUGUGCUAAGUAUGUAGAGUUAAAAUAGACAUGGUUUGUCCUGAGCAGUAAAGAGUUCAUGGUCUACUCCCAGUAGACAAAGUAAAUAAUGUGUGUGUAUGAGUAAGUAAUGUUCCCUCCUCAACCUGUUAAUGUUGGAGUGUGCCAAGGCCCAGGUCUAACCCAUCUACACUUGGUUCACUUAGUGACCUCCUCCAGUGUUGUUGCUUGAGAUACCAUCUGUAUGCUAAAAACUCAAAUCUCCAGCCAAAACCCUCUACCUUGAACUCCAGAUGUGUAUAUCCAACUAUCUACCUAACAUGUCCACUUUGAUAUCUAAUAAGCAUCUCAAACUUGCUAUGUCAAACCAAACUCGAGGUCUUCUCCCACCCACUGCCCACUUGCUCCUGUCUCAGUCUUCCUCUUCUUCUUCCCUCCUUUCAGUGGAUCUGGCCCAAACCUUGACUGUAAUGUGAUUCUUCUUUUUCUCUCAUAACCCACCCCUGAUCCAACCACAAAUCUGUUGGCCCAACAUUCAAAAUAUAUAAUAUAUUCAAAAAAUAACCAUUUCAUACAUCCUCCACAGCCAUCACCCUGUUCCACACACCAGGAUUGCUUGUAUUAUUGCUAGAGCCUUCUGAUGGGUUUUCUGGAUUCCUCUCUUGAUAUUCUACAGUCAUGAAGACAGUAGCCUUAAAAAGUGUCCUCCGUCAACUCCAGAUGUCUGAAGCUGACACUGGCGUGAACCCCACCCCACAGCCCUGCUCCAGUCCAUGAGAUUGUACCUAAGUAACAGUGACCUGGAGAUCAAACCCCAUGAAAUAGGGGACCAGACUUAUUCCACUGUUUGGUGUGGGCUAGUAACGCCAACCUGUGAAGAGUGUAGUGCUCCCAUUUUCAA